rnacentral:tRNA from 2 species
GGGCCGGUAGCUCAGCGGGAGAGCGCCCGGUUCGCAACCGGGAGGCCGCGGGUUCGAGUCCCGCCCGGUCCACCA